AGUUGACGAGUCUCAAAUAAGACGAAACGCGCGUCCU
rnacentral:hammerhead_ribozyme from 1 species